AACGCUAGCUACAGGCUUAACACAUGCAAGUCGAGGGGCAGCAUGGUCUUAGCUUGCUAAGGCCGAUGGCGACCGGCGCACGGGUGAGUAACACGUAUCCAACCUGCCGUCUACUCUUGGGCAGCCUUCUGAAAGGAAGAUUAAUACAAGAUGGCAUCAUGAGUCCGCAUGUUCACAUGAUUAAAGGUAUUCCGGUAGACGAUGGGGAUGCGUUCCAUUAGAUAGUAGGCGGGGUAACGGCCCACCUAGUCUUCGAUGGAUGGGGGUUCUGAGAGGAAGGUCCCCCACAUUGGAACUGAGACACGGUCCAAACUCCUACGGGAGGCAGCAGUGAGGAAUAUUGGUCAAUGGGCGCAGGCCUGAACCAGCCAAGUAGCGUGAAGGAUGACUGCCCUAUGGGUUGUAAACUUCUUUUAUAAAGGAAUAAAGUCGGGUACGUAUACCCGUUUGCAUGUACUUUAUGAAUAAGGAUCGGCUAACUCCGUGCCAGCAGCCGCGGUAAUACGGAGGAUCCGAGCGUUAUCCGGAUUUAUUGGGUUUAAAGGGAGCGUAGAUGGAUGUUUAAGUCAGUUGUGAAAGUUUGCGGCUCAACCGUAAAAUUGCAGUUGAUACUGGAUAUCUUGAGUGCAGUUGAGGCAGGCGGAAUUCGUGGUGUAGCGGUGAAAUGCUUAGAUAUCACGAAGAACUCCGAUUG
rnacentral:rRNA from 1 species